rnacentral:rRNA from 1 species
CUCGAUGUCGGCUCAUCACAUCCUGGGGCUGAAGUCGGUCCCAAGGGUAUGCCUGUUCGCCAUUUAAAGUGGUACGCGAGCUGGGUUUAGAACGUCGUGAGACAGUUCGGUCCCUAUCUGCCGUGGGCGUUGGAAGAUUGAAGGGGGCUGCUCCUAGUACGAGAGGACCGGAGUGGACGAACCUCUGGUGUUCGGGUUGUGUCGCCAGACGCAUUGCCCGGUAGCUAAGUUCGGAAUUGAUAAGCGCUGAAAGCAUCUAAGCGCGAAGCGAGCCCUGAGAUGAGUCUUCCCUGACAGUUUAACUGUCCUAAAGGGUUGUUCGAGACUAGAACGUUGAUAGGCAGGGUGUGUAAGCGUUGUGAGGCGUUGAGCUAACCUGUACUAAUUGCCCGUGAGGCUUAACCAU